UACGUAGGGGGCAAGCGUUGUCCGGAAUUAUUGGGCGUAAAGCGUUCGUAGGUGGUUUGUUAAGUAGGAUGUUAAAUCCCUGAGCUCAACUCAGGAUUGGUGUCCUAAACUGGCAAGCUGGAGACAGGUAGAGGUAGACGGAACUCUGUGUGUAGGGGUAAUAUCCGUAGAUAUACAGAAGAACACCAAAAGCGAAAGCAGUCUACUGGACCUGUUCUGACACUCAAGAACGAAAGCGUGGGUAGCAAACGGG
rnacentral:rRNA from 1 species